GAGAAUCAUCCCUCCCAGAUAAUGACACUCUCAAACAAGUACUCAAGUUGUUGGAAAGGCUAUUUCCUGGUCAGAGCACUCUC
rnacentral:pre_miRNA from 13 species